GAUGAACGCUGGCGGCGUGCCUAAUACAUGCAAGUCGAGCGGACAGACCAUGAGCUUGCGCCUUUGACGUUAGCGGCGGACGGGUGAGUAACACGUGUAUAACCUACCUAUAAGACUGGGAUAACUUCGGGAAACCGGAGCUAAUACCGGAUAAUAUAUUGAACCGCAGGGUUCGAUGGUGAGAGACGGUUUUGCUGUCACUUAUCGAUGGAUCCGCGCCGUAUUGGCUAGUUGUUAAGUUAACGGCUUACCAAGGCGACGAGUCGUAGCCGACCUGAGAGGGUGAUCGGCCACACUGGAGCUGGGCCGCGGUCCAGGCUCCUGCGGGAGGCAGCAGUAGGGAAUCUUCCGCAGUGGGCGAAAGCAUGACGGAGCGAGGCCGCGUGAGUGAUGAAGGUCUUCGGAUCGUAAAGCUCUGUUAUUAGUGAAGAACAAAUGUGUAAGUAACUGUGCACGUCUUGACGGUACCUAAUCAGAAAGCCACGGCUAACUACGUG
rnacentral:rRNA from 1 species